AGGGAAACAACGCUGAGAGAUGAGAGCAAAUAGCUGGAGGAGAAGCAAGUAAAAAUAGACACUUAACAGGAAGAGAAAUGUAUGUUUUGGCUGAAGGCAAGCAGACCUGCUUUCAGGUGUGCCACAACUGAGCCUCCGUAUCGUGUCUGCCUGACUGCAUUCUGCAGCUGCUCUUGGUUCCUAAGAGGAAAGAGUGUAACAAAUGAGGGUCCGGCCCAGGUCUUCAGAUGCCACCAACCCUGGUGGAGAAAUUGCAUUUGCUUGGUGAAUGUUCCAGUCUGUUCCUACUAAAGAGCAAGAAAUCGCAGCUCUGGAAACUCUGGGAGGGAUCCAUGGAGUCCUGGCUGUACAUCCUAGAAGUUCUACGUUGUUUAUAGCUAUUUCUUUUUUUUUAAGUUUCUUAUGUUAACCUUUGGGAUAUCUGGGACAUAUGGAUUGGUGCACUGAAGCACAUUUUUAAGAACUGAAAUAAAGGAUUUCUUUUUUUUUUUUUGUCAGUUUUCACUUUAUUUUGUAACCUCUGCUGUAUGCAGAA
rnacentral:lncRNA from 1 species